GACGAACGCUGGCGGCGUGCUUAACACAUGCAAGUCGAACGGGUCUGCCCUGUUUUUUGCGGGGUGGGUCAGUGGCGAACGGGUGAGUAACACGUGAGUAACCUGCCCCUCACUUCUGGAUAACCGCUUGAAAGGGUGGCUAAUACGGGGUGUUCUGGCUGUGCCGCAUGGUGUGGCUGGGAAAGAUUCACUUUUGUGGUGUUUUGGUGGGGGAUGGGCUCGCGGCCUAUCAGCUUGUUGGUGGGGUGAUGGCCUGCCAAGGCUUUGACGGGUAGCCGGCCUGGGAGGGUGGGCGGCACCACUGGGGCUGAGAGACGGCCCCGACUCCUGCGGGAGGCAGCAGUGGGGGGUAUUGCACAAUGGGCGGAAGCAUGAUGCAGCGACGUCGCGUGAGGGAUGGAGGCCUUCGGGUUGUGAACCUCUUUCGCCGGUGAAGAAGGUCCUGCUCUUUGGGGUGGGGUUGACGGUAGCCGGGUUAUGAAGCGCCGGCUAACUACGUG
rnacentral:rRNA from 1 species